GUACUCCCUUUGGCAGCAUAUAUACUACAAUUGGAAUGAUCAGAGAAGAUUAGAAUGGCCCCUGAGCAAGGAUGACACACAAAUGAUGAUCCUAUAUUUUUU
rnacentral:snRNA from 1 species